UCCCAGUUCGGAUUGUAGUCUGCAACCCGACUACAUGAAGCUGGAAUCGCUAGUAAUCGCAGGUCAGCAUACUGCGGUGAAUACGUUCCCGGGUCUUGUACACACCGCCCGUCACACCAUGGGAGCCGGAAAUGCCCGAAGCCAGUGACCCAACCUUAGGGAGGGAGCUGUCGAAGGUGGAGCCGGUAACUGGGGUGAAGUCGUAACAAGGUAGC
rnacentral:rRNA from 1 species